rnacentral:rRNA from 1 species
AGAUUGAACGCUGGCGGCAUGCCUAACACAUGCAAGUCGAACGGGAGUAGCAAUACUCUAGUGGCGGACGGGUGAGGAAUACGUAGGAAUUUGCCCUUAAGUGGGGGAUAACCCGGGGAAACCCGGAUUAAUACCGCAUGACCUCGAAAGAGCAAAGUGGGGGAUCGCAAGACCUCACGCUUUUGGAGAAGCCUGCGUCGGAUUAGCUAGUUGGUGAGGUAAUGGCUCACCAAGGCGACGAUCCGUAACUGGUCUGAGAGGAUGAUCAGUCACACCGGAACUGAGACACGGUCCGGACUCCUACGGG